AUCCAUCCAGUGCCAUGGGAUGGCUGUCACUGUUCAGCCUGAGAGGCUGUGACUGAGAUUGAAGUAUAAUGAAUGGAUAUACAUAUAGGACAGUCUUCAAAAUAUUCCUGGAAAACACAUAUGACAGGACUGAACUUUGGGAACCUCAAGAGGCAAUAACCUGAGUCAAGGAUGAAUGAAACAUGCAACAAAGUAGGAGAUACGAAUUCUGAAUCCAGAUUGUAGACAUCUUACAGCUUUGCUUUCCCUGUUAGAGAACAGGUGUCGGAAACAAACUCAAUGCAUGACUUCUUUAACGGUAAGGGGAGCCU